CAUCAUCGAUAUAUAUAUAUAUAUAUAUAGAUUUUCUGAAUAGGGAAUUACACAAAUUUAGAGGAACUUCAACCACAAUGGUAGAAUGAUUGGCAUUACCUAGAGGCCCUUGUAUCAUUCUACGAACAAAAGGUCCACUUAACUCCUCA